AGAAUAAUAGGUUAGUGUUGAUUAUAGAUCAGGUUUAUCAUGCGAGGCUUAGAAAACAAAAAGCACGAGCCUUGGCGAGUGCUUUUUCGUUUUCGUGCCGAGCAUGAUAAACCUGAUCUAUAAUCAACACUGACCUAUUAUUCUAUUUAUCCCACUUUUUAUUCAGUAAACUUUUUUUAUUUAAACAAAAUAAGUUUUCACGAGUGUUUGUCGUACUUUGAUAAUGACUGUAGUGUAACCAAGGUCAGUGUAUUACUCCGCGUUCCAAAAAUAACCGCUGAUCAAAUAAUCAUUUUUUUAAAUCAGAAUAUCGUUCUGUAACAAAGUGUCGAGCGUUAUUAAUUACAAUUUUAAUCAUAUUGAAUUGCAAAUCUUUAAGUUUUAUGAUAUCAAUAUGACAUUAAGUUGUUAUAUACAAGGAACUACAUUUGUUUACAACGUAGCCUAACACCACACACAAUUCACUUUCGAUAUCAAACUAUCGAGUCGAUCCCGAGGUGCACAUUAUUUGCUUCUUUGUUAUAAUAUGUGGUUAUUUCGUGACGAAAUAACAAAGAUUACUUGGAUUUAAGCUAAUUAUAUACAUUAACAUUUUGAAUGUUGAAAGUGGCACCAAAGAAUUGUGAGGCAAAGUUGUUCGAACGCUGGUGAACCGUGAAGUGACUGGGUGGGGCGAACAUCAAGAUCAACUUGUUCGACGGUAGACAGUGGUUGUCUAGGCUGCAUUUCGGCCAUAGUUUCGGUGCAUGAAGGUGUACAAGAGGAACUGUUGGAUUGUUACAUUUACUGGACUGAGCAAGAAUGAACACUUUUGCAGCUGUUCAACAGAUAUGUUGGAAUAAUUGGUUAAGGACUGGACAUUUUUGUGCCCUGUUAUUGCCAUGGUUUCAGUGGGUGGAUAUUUGUAUUUCGAAAUUUUUGGACCAGGAAUUUGCGAACUGAGUGGUUCGUUAUUCUCUUGUGCUUGAGAAAGCCGGAGUCUUUUGCCAUGGCCUUCAGCAUCUGACCUAACUUGUUGACACCCAAUUGUUGACGCAAGAAUCACCGGGAUGCAGUGUCAUUUGUGCGUAUUGCCAGGUUGAAAAGAUGCUUUGAAGAAAAAUCAGAUGGAUGCAUAUCCGAGUACAGCUUGUAAAUUAACACAGGAUUUCUUGGUCCAGACGAUUGUUUUCUACGGUCAAAGGGGAGCAACUCGCACUGACUUCUUCAAAGGGGAGCAACAACAACAGAACCUAUUUGCAUAGUGUUAAAUGUACCUAUUACUUGAGGUUUUAAUAAAAAUAAAUGACAAAAAAAAACACGUUUUUUUGCUACUUUCCUUUGUUUUAAGGUCAUUAAGAUUGACAAACAUUUGAGAUUGUUUUUAUUAUUGAUGCACUUGGCAAACACAGGUGACGAGUUGCGUGGGAAAAAGUAGUCCCGGUUCGGCAGUUGAUGACGUCAUUUCGUGCCAUUGAUUAUAGCCUUGCCGUUGAUUACAGAUGAAAUUUAAUAAACGGGGCUUUAAUCAACCGAUUUCGCUGUUAAAGUGGGAUAAAAUGGAGAUAACUUUUUCAUGUCCGUUAUUUAUUGGUGGAUACACAACCCUUUGUUGUUCUGGUGUGUGUCUGGAAAACACUUGGACUACCGUCCUGAUGUAAAGAGGAAUCUAUUUCUCAAUGAAAAUCGUGUCGAAUACUUUACAUUUGGUAGAUCAUCUGGUGGUUCACAUUUUCAGCGACUGAAAGUGCUCAGCUUUGACAACAUGAAAGACGCGUGUUAUGUGUCUAAAAUCGACCAAGACGACAAUGAUCUGAACGUAACAGUUCAGAUGGCGUACCCGUCUAAUACUGUGAUGUACGUGGCCGGGAACCAGUCAUUUGAACCGGAAAUACUGUCCGGUUUCCUGCAGGGAGUCUGUAAAACAGCUUACUGGAUGCAGGUGAAUCUAAAAGGCAAAGGAUCACUGACUGCGCGUGCCAAUCGGAGCUGUGGUAACUCGUGCAUGAUGGUAUGUACAUCUAUUUAACUCGCUCUGUGAUAAUGAUAAACUAGUGUUUGUACUUUCAAAUGAAAACAUGGUAAAAGUCAGUGCCAAGACCUGCCAAAUGAUCUUAACUACACGAACACAACUCUUGUAUAAAUAGCAUUUUAAGCCUUCUCUUAACUUUUAGCAAGACCUAUGUUUUAUCAGAUUUUAGUGAUGCUCACAUAUAAAUUUGUAAAUUAUCUGUUAAUGAGUUCAAUUAAAAAAAUCCUAUAUAUAAUG